rnacentral:rRNA from 1 species
GACGAACUGCCCAAACGUUGUUCGGAAUCACUGGGCGUAAAGCGCACGUAGGCGGAUGUGUCAGUCAGGGGUGAAAUCCCGGAGCUCAACUUCGGAACUGCCUUUGAUACAGCACGUCUUGAGUCCGGAAGAGGUGGGUGGAAUUCCUAGUGUAGAGGUGAAAUUCGUAGAUAUUAGGAAGAACACCGGUGGCGAAGGCGGCCCACUGGUCCGGUACUGACGCUGAGGUGCGAAAGCGUGGGGAGCAAACAGG